rnacentral:tRNA from 1 species
GUGUUUUCAACGGGUUUUACUCCCCUGCUAAGGGAGUAGGCGUCUAAAAAGCGCGCGAGAGUUCAAAUCUCUCCUUCCGCGCCA